CAGGGCAGGCUACCACCUGACUUGUCAUUCUUUGUCUCUAAGACCAAUGUGGACAAUCCCUCACUACCUCCAUCACCUAACUUCCCCCUCCUCCAUAUAUCACCCAUGUUCCCCUGGUUUCAUUUUGUUCCCAGAGAGAGAGAGAGAGAGGAGGAGGAGGAGGAGGAGGAGGAGGAGGAAGCCCUGGUCGUUGUUUCUUCCACUGGUUUCCAAACAUCCCAAGAACUGGAAGGGCAAAAGAAGUGAGGAUUUAUCGGAGAAUGGAAGAUAAGGGCAUGUAAGGGAGCUGAUUCCAUCACAUGAACCCACAAAUUUAGAUGAAUUCAGGGACGCCUCUGUUUUGCUAUUUUACCUUCUAUUUGACUAUGACAUUAUGAACAAAUUCUCAUAAUUCUAGACUUAGAUUGGAACAAGGCAACUAUUGUCAGAUCCUAUUACAAAAAAAGACCAAUUCUUGUAUCAGAAAAAUGUUGAAUAUGCUUGGCAAAUCUCA